GUGAAGCGGGAAGAGCUCAAAUUUAAAAUCUGGCGGUCUCUGGCCGUCCGAGUUGUAACCUGGAGGAGCGUUUUCCGCGUCGGACCGUGUACAAGUCUCCUGGAACGGAGCGUCAUAGAGGGUGAGAAUCCCGUCCAUGACACGGACGCCCGAUGCUUUGUGAUACGCCCCCGAAGAGUCGCGUUGUUUGGGAAUGCAGCGCAAAAUGGGUGGUAAAUUCCAUCUAAAGCUAAAUAUUGGCGAGAGACCGAUAGCGAACAAGUACCGUGAGGGAAAGAUGAAAAGCACUUUGGAAAGAGAGUUAAACAGUACGUGAAAUUGUUGAAAGGGAAACGCUUGAAGUCAGUCGCGUCCCGUGGAACUCAGCCUUGCUUCGGCCUGGUGUACUUUCUGCGGGACGGGUCAACAUCAAUUUCACCCGGUGGACAAGGGCGAGGGGAAUGUAGCGUUGUUUCGGCGACGUGUUAUAGCCCCUUGUCGUAUACACCGGGAGGGAUUGAGGACCGCAGCGCGCCCUUGUGGCCGGGGUUCGCCCACGUACCGCGCUUAGGAUGUUGGCAUAAUGGCUUUAAGCGACCCGUCUUGAAACACGGACCAAGGAGUCUAACAUGCUUGCGAGUGUUCGGGUGGAAAACCCUUGCGCGUAAUGAAAGUGAAAGUUGGGAACCUCCGCGAGGGGGUGCACCGACGCCCGGCCCUGAAGUUUACUGACGGUGCUGCGGUAGAGCAGGUAUGUUGGGACCCGAAAGAUGGUGAACUAUGCCUGAAUAGGGCGAAGCCAGAGGAAACUCUGGUGGAGGCUCGUAGCGAUUCUGACGUGCAAAUCNAUCG
rnacentral:rRNA from 2 species